rnacentral:rRNA from 1 species
CCUACGGGUGGCAGCAGUGGGGGAUAUUGCACAAUGGGGGAAACCCUGAUGCAGCGACGCCGCGUGGGUGAAGAAGCGCCUCGGCGCGUAAAGCCCUGUCAGCAGGGAAGAAAAUGACGGUAUCUGAAGAAGAAGCCCCGGGUAACUACGUGCAAGCAGCCGCGGUAAUAUGUAGGGGGCAAGCGUGAUCCGGAUUUACUGGGUGUAAAGGGGGCGCAGACGGCGGUGCAAGCCAGGAGUGAAAGCCCGGGGCCCAACCCCGGGACUGCGCUUGGAACUGCGUGGCUUGAGUGCAGGAGGGGCAGGCGGAAUUCCUGGUGUAGCGGUGAAAUGCGUAGAUAUCAGGAGGAACACCGGUGGCGAAGGCGGCCUGCUGGACUGCAACUGACGGUGAGGCCCGAAAGCGUGGGGAGCAAACAGGAUUAGAUACCCGUGUAGUC